GAUGAACGCUAGCGGCAGGCUUAACACAUGCAAGUCGAGGGGUAUAGGCUUUCGGGCCUAGAGACCGGCGCACGGGUGCGUAACGCGUAUGCAAUCUGCCUUACACUAAGGGAUAGCCCAGAGAAAUUUGGAUUAAUACCUUAUAGUAUAUUGAUGUGGCAUCACAAUGAUAUUAAAGAUUUAUCGGUGUAAGAUGAGCAUGCGUCCCAUUAGCUAGUUGGUGUGGUAACGGCAUACCAAGGCAAUGAUGGGUAGGGGUCCUGAGAGGGAGAGCCCCCACACUGGUACUGAGACACGGACCAGACUCCUACGGGAGGCAGCAGUGAGGAAUAUUGGACAAUGGGCGCAAGCCUGAUCCAGCCAUGCCGCGUGCAGGAUGACGGUCCUAUGGAUUGUAAACUGCUUUUGUACGGGAAGAAACACUCCUACGUGUAGGAGCUUGACGGUACCGUAAGAAUAAGGAUCGGCUAACUCCGUGCCAGCCGCCGCAGUAA
rnacentral:rRNA from 1 species